rnacentral:rRNA from 1 species
UACGAAGGUGGCAAGCGUUGUUCGGAUUUACUGGGCGUACAGGGAGCGUAGGCGGUUGGGUAAGCCCUCCGUGAAAUCUUCGGGCCUAACCCGGAAAGUGCGGAGGGGACUGCUCGGCUAGAGGAUGGGAGAGGAGCGCGGAAUUCCCGGUGUAGCGGUGAAAUGCGUAGAGAUCGGGAGGAAGGCCGGUGGCGAAGGCGGCGCUCUGGAACAUUUCUGGCGCUGAGGCUCGAAAGCGUGGGGAGCAAACAGG